GCCAGACUCCUACGGGAGGCAGCAGUGGGGAAUAUUGCACAAUGGGGGAAGCCCUGAUGCAGCGACGCCGCGUGAGUGAGGAAGUAAUUCGUUAUGUAAAGCUCUAUCAGCAGGGAAGAAAAUGACGGUACCUGAGUAAGAAGCCCCGGCUAACUACGUGCCAGCAGCCGCGGUAAUACGUAGGGGGCAAGCGUUAUCCGGAUUUACUGGGUGUAAAGGGAGCGUAGACGGCAGUGCAAGUCUGGAGUGAAGGGCGGGGCCUCACCCCCCGACUGCUCUGGAAACUGUACGGCUGGAGUGCAGGAGAGGUAAGUGGAAUUCCUAGUGUAGCGGUGAAAUGCGUAGAUAUUAGGAGGAACACCAGUGGCGAAGGCGGCCUGCUGGACCGCGACUGACGUUGAGGCUCGAAAGCGUGGGGAGCGAACAGGAUUAGAUACCCUGGUA
rnacentral:rRNA from 1 species